rnacentral:lncRNA from 1 species
GGCUGUUACUGGUGCUUCUCUGAUUCCACAUUAUGGGUGAGGAAAUUGGAGUCCAGUUGGUUAAUUUGCCCAAGGUCACAAAGCUGUCAGAAUUUGAACCUAGCUAGACAUUAUCAUCUCUGUUCUUUCUUUAAUGUGUUUGUUUGCAUAUGCUAUUAACUACUUGAAAUCAAUGCUAUUUUUAGGGAAUGCAUACAGCUCACCAAAAGUUUAAAACUUGAAAGUUCCAAGACAGCCAGGGCUAUACAGAGAAACCCUGUCUCGAAAAAAAAAAAAAAAAAAAAAAAAAAAAAGAGAGAGAAAAAACGUUUGUCUUUUGAGAUAGGAUCUUACUAUGUAGCCCAGGCUGGCCUCAAACUUGUAGUCCCUGCCUUAGGCUCUUGCAUAGCUACUAUAUGACCUUGAAGCUUUCAGGAGUUGAAACACUGGCUACUGAGCUGCAGCCUGAUAGAGCUAAGUGUGUAGGAAGCAGCAGACUCCUGUUCUGGAAGUGGCCACUUAAUCUCUCCUGAGCGCCGGUUAAAAACGUUUGUCUUAGCCGGGCGUGGUGGCGCAUGCCUUUAAUCCCAGCACUCGGGAGGCAGAGGCAGGCGGAUUUCUGAGUUCUAGGCCAGCCUGGUCUACAAAGUGAGUUCCAAGACAGCCAGGGCUAUACAGAGAAACCCUGUCUCGAAAAACAAACAAACAAACAAACAAAAAAACAAACAAAAAAAAAGAGAAAAAACGUUUGUCUUUUGAGAUAGGAUCUUACUAUGUAGCCCAGGCUGGCCUCAAACUUGCAGUCCCUGCCUUAGGCUCUUGCAUGCUUGGAUUUAUAGGUGUGGCCUAUCACACCCAGUUCCUUUGCUCUACUUUCAAAGUUACUCUGAAAGAGCUUCUUUUCCUUUUGUGUUUACUUUAAGAUCAUUUCAGGUUUUUUUUUUUGCCCCAGCCUUUGUAAGGAGAACCACUCUUUUUAUGUAGAAUCACUAAUUAUUAUUUUAGUUUUUCACUUUUUACUUACUUGUGUUGGUGUGUGGGUUUGUAUCGUACCCACGGAGGCCAGAAGAAGGCAUUAGAUUUCCCUGGAACUGGUGUCAACAGGUAGUUGUAAGCUGCCUAAUAUGGUGCUGGAAAUGAAACUGGAAAUCGCUUCUGGGAGAUCAGUCUGGUCUCUUGACCACUGAGCUGUCUCUUCAGUCCAAACAGCGUUGCUGUGCUCACCUGCCCCUCCCCUCCCGUCCCCCUCCCCCUUCUCUCUGCCUUCCUCUCGACCCCUGUCCUUUCACAUUCACACGCACACUUACGUUUGCACACACAUUUCACAUGAAAAGUUGUCUUCUGAAGAUUAUGUUUAACUUGUAUCCUUUACCCUUGAAACCUUAGCAUAUGUUUUUCGUAAUAAAAACAGCCUCUUAAGUAAUUGUGGCUACAGAUAUGAUCAAGGAGUUUACUAUUGGUGCAGGAUAGUAUGCAGUCCAGGUUUGCUCUCUGUUCCAGUCGUGACUUGACUUUUCUCUUCUUAUCUUUUCUUUCCCAAAGCCUUUUGUGACUACGGGAUCUAGUCUAGUGUCACGCAGUGUAACGCAGUGUUCUUAUUAAUCCCUUUACUUUCCAUUAGUGAGUUCUUAGCCUUUCUUUGUCUCCCGGGACCCCUUGACCCCCUGACAUAUAUAAAGAGUAUCAGCUGAUUAUUUUAUAGCGUGCUAAUCACCGGGCAUUUGCAGGCGUCUUCAUCAUCUUCAGGUUUGGGUUAUAAGGUCCUGUUUAGAGCACUGGUGUAGGUAAUGUUUCUUCUGUUGUGGCUGGAGACACAAGAACACCCAGGCUUCUUAAUUUUUCCAGCUAAGGGCUUUUCUGGUAUCUUGACUUUAUAUAAUUACUAUUUUUACCCCCUGCCCAAGUCUGGGUCUGGGGGAAGAUACCUCAAGACCAUUUAGCUAGCUUUUUCACUAAAGACUUCAACAGCCAGUUGUGAAGGUUUUUUUUAUUUUUAUUUGUGUGUCUGUGAGUGUGAUUGUGUGUCUCUCUGUGCGUGUGCAGGUAAGGGUAGGUGAUCAAGGAGGCCAGAGGAAGACAUCAGAUCCCCUGGGCUUAGAGUCACACACGGUUGUGAGCCACCUGAUUUGGGAGCUGGGAAACACCCAGGAGCUCCUCACUGCUCAGGCCGUCCAUCCCUAGUCUACGAUCCAGGUCUGAACCCACCUUACCAUGCGUGGGGUGCCCUGACCGUGCUCCCCAUGUCCUCUGCCAUGUGCUCUCUUGUCCUGUUUCUUGGGACUUUGGCUAUGAGUGGGGUGCCCCUGUUCUCUGUGUCCUCUGCCAUGUGCCCUCUCAUUGUGUGUGUGUUUUGGACUCUGUUGCUCAGCACUUCACUGACUGUUCCAGGGAUGGCUAAUCUCUUCCCAGUCAGUUACGGAGUUUUGUUUUCAGAAGUUAUUUGUAGUUUUGUAGCCCUUCUCAUCCUUCAGACAAAACCAGAAUUGGAGAGACUUACGUUGUCUAUGAAAGCAUAUCUCAGCAUAUCUGUUUUGUUAAUCAUCCAAAUGUGUUAGUUUAUUGGACUUAAUGUUUUUCAUUUCUUCACUUUUAAAUGUAAAGAACUAAUUUAUCCCCCUCCCCCAACACCCUGCUUUAUUUUGGAAUAGUCUAUACUUUCAUUGCUUUUAGUUAUCAUUUAAGUUCUUUUCCUUUUUCUUUUUCUUCUCCUUCUUCUUCUUUUUUUAAAGAUUUAUUUAUUUAUUAUAUGUGAGUACACUGUAGCUGUCUUCAGAUACCCCAGAAGAGGGCGUCAGAUCUCAUUACUGAUGGUUGUGAGCCACCAUGUGGUUGCUGGGAUUUGAACUAAGGACUUUCAGAAGAGCAGUGAGUGCUCUUAACUGAAAUUAUUUUUCC